GAACUGCCUUUCUAGCGUAGCGUGGCGGGAUGUGGCGAAAGGCCUGCGCAAAGCCGUCCGUUCUUCCCCUACCUUACGCCGCUCCCUAUCACAAAGACGACGCCCGUGGGCUCCCUGCCCGUCUCCUCGCAGCUCUCCGCCCCACACGCACCACCCGCCUGAACUCUUCAAGAAUCCCGCGACAUCUCUCUCCUUAUCGCUGAUCCCUUUUCGCUUCACUCCGUUGGUCCAUAAGAUCACCCUCCGUCGCGAGUCCCUGGUGGUGGAGGUAGAAGGCAUCUUGGGGUUUCUUGGGUGAUGGCCUUCGUCCUCACGGGCAUCCGUUUCCCCAGCGCGCGGGCCUUGGGGCUAUCGACACGAUCCGGAUUCCCGAGCCAGAGGACGUGCGGCGCCAAUCUCUCUCCCGUAUCCAAGAAGCAGAUUAAGGUGCGGUUUCCGGUUGCUUCUGCAACUGGAAAGUUGCUAGUUCCAGGUACUGAAAGUGAUGAUCUGUCAUCCUCCACCACCCUGAAUUCAAACAAGGAAGCUGCAUCAAGUAAUCUGCAGGUAUUGCAAGAAACAAGUGGUGUGAAGAUUGAGGACAACAUUGAGCUUGAAGCAGGGCAGACAUCCAUCUCCUCUGAACUCAUUGGUGAAGAAAGUAUGAAUCAAGGUGACAAAAGCUCAGUUUCUUCUCAAGCCAAAGAAGAAGUCGAGGAUGUUGAGGAAAAACCAAGAUUUGUUCCUCCACCUGGUACUGGACAAAGAAUUUACGAAAUUGACCCAUCUUUAAAGGGUUACAGAGUACAUCUUGAUUACCGAUAUAAUCAGUACAAGAAAAUGCGUGAGAUGAUUGAUCAGUAUGAAGGUGGUCUGGAAGCGUUUUCACGUGGAUAUGAGAAAUUUGGCUUUCAGCGAAGUGCUAGUGGCAUCACUUAUCGGGAAUGGGCUCCAGGCGCAAAGCAUCUUUCAAAAAUAAAUGCUUGGUUUUGGUCUUCAGUGGGCGACACUCAUAGGAGACUUUAACAAUUGGAACCCCAAUGCAAAUGUCAUGACUCGGAAUGAAUACGGCGCUUGGGAGGUCUUUUUGCCUAAUAAUGCCGAUGGCUCGCCACCUAUUCAACAUGGCUCACGUGUAAAGUAAGGGAUGGUGUUGGAUCAAAUUAUCCUGAGUCCAGCUGAUUCAAGAAGCACCGAACCUUGCAAAACUAUUUCAAGAGUACGACUAAUAGAGCUGUCAAAAGCUUAAGAGUUAGCCUUCCAGUGAGUUGAAUGUCAAAUCUGUAAGGGUCAAUUGUUUUAGAGAUGAGUCUCUCUAACAAUAUAUUUGAGGGACUUUUUAUAGUAAAAUUUUAGACCUUUGCACUUUAGCAUAUGUUAUAAUGUCGGGAGUAAAUUUACAUCUCUUGCAGAUUUGGGUAUAAUCAUUCUAUACUAAAUUCGAUGAAUACAAUAUGCACAUGAGUGCAGUUGUAAUAUUUAAAGUGUGAAGUCAGACUAUGUCAAUAAUUGUCCAUACAUCAUUAUUCUUA